rnacentral:pre_miRNA from 1 species
UUUGUACUCCCUCCGUUCCGAAUUACUUGUCGCAGGUAUGGAUGUAUCUAGAUGUAUUUUAGUUCUAGAUACAUCCAUUUCUGCGACGAGUAAUUAGGAACGGAGGGAGUAUAAU